UCUCAUUCUUCAAAAUGAACUGAACCCACAGCGCAGGAACCAUUGCUUUUCGUUCCAAAAACAGAACUUCACUUUUUCGUGCCGUUCUCUUCAAAGUUUGGAACGCGUUCUGUGAACCGCCUGUAGCCAGAGGCUCUCUAUGGCAACUGUUUAGCUUUAAUAAAUACACUGAGGAAAAAGAAUGUAAGAUUUUCAUAAGUCUACAUCUUAUGUGCUGCCUGAUUUGAGUAUCCACUAGCCUCUCGCGAUUUUCAUAGACAAUCUUUAGACCGUCACUAUAAAUUCAUAUGGUUAUAACUAAACUUUACUUAUGUAUUUGGUCCACUGUUGAUAGACUAUGAACUUCAUAAGAAAUUCUUAUGGAAUUCAUCUGUAAUUGUUCAAUGGUUUUCGCGUAAGAUGCUAGCGUGAAUUUUUUUGACAUUUCAAGAUGGCGAAAGGACGGAUCGAGCAGACAAUUUUGAACGCUCGCGACUCCAAAUCGCCCCGUAAUUCGUUACGGUAACUACUUCGCAAAGCUGCCGCCGCCGCUAUGAGUUUCUGAUCGGACGAAUAAAUUUUCUUAAUUACCGCGACCUCCAAGACUCAGGUAACAUCAAUGGCUGUUGGUUCCGCCGGCGGCCCUCCUGAGCAUCCUCCAGAAUGAUUCGGAGAGAAGCAUCGGUGAGGACAGUUCCGAGCAGCGGUCGGUCGGUUGAUUGACGCGGUUAUGCCGAAGGUGUUGGCCAUCCGGCAGAACAUGCCGAAUCUCCAGCAAAAGACGAUUAAACCGGAGGCAGUAUAAACCAACGGGACGACGAGCACCGGAGGAACAGUGGAGCAGUGGGAAAAACAUCUCCUCGAAGCAAAAAUGAAAUGAAGUUUUGGUUAUAUUAUGAUAAUUCAAAAAUAUACACGUUUAAAAUUUAAAUAAACAUUUGUUUUCAUUCAAUUAGAAAUAAGAAAAAAAUUAGAAUAAAAAACAACGUAUGUUAAUAUGAUCUCCAUGAGCAUUGCCAUAUAUUCUUUACACAAUUCCAUCUAUGAAUGUCAUAAGAUAACUCAAUGGAAAUCUUAAUUGACGGCUUUGUCAAAUUUCCCCUCCCAGCCAUAAGAAAAUCUUAUGACAUCCGAAUAAAAUCCUGAUGUCGAAAGGUCAUAAGACGUUCUUAUGGAUUUUGCCAGUACUUUUUUCUGAGUGUAUUCAGUGAAAC